UACGUAGGGAGCAAGCGUUGUCCGGAAUCAUUGGGCGUAAAGCGCGCGUAGGUGGUUUGUUAAGUUGGAUGUGAAAUCCCCGGGCUCAACCUGGGAACUGCAUUCAAAACUGACAAGCUAGAGUAUGGUAGAGGGUGGUGGAAUUUCCUGUGUAGCGGUGAAAUGCGUAGAUACUGGGAGGAACACCGGUGGCGAAGGCGGCUACCUGGACCGGUUCUGACGCUGAGGCGCGAAAGCGUGGGGAGCAAACAGG
rnacentral:rRNA from 1 species